CGUCUAUAUACGUAUAGCAUAUCAAUAAGCGGAGGAAAAGAAACUAACAAGGAUUCCCUUAGUAACGGCGAGUGAAGCGGGAAGAGCUCAAAUUUGAAAUCUUCAAGGUUCUACCUUGACGAAUUGUAGUUUAUAGAAGUGUUUUCUGUUAGUAGAGUGGCAAAAGUUCUUUGGAAUAGGACAUCAUAGAGGGUGAGAAUCCCGUAUUUGGUCAUUCUUUCUAGCUUUGUGAUACACUUUCAACGAGUCGGAUUGUUUGGGAAUGCAGUCCAAAAUGGGUGGUAAAUUUCAUCUAAAGCUAAAUAUUGGCGAGAGACCGAUAGCGAACAAGUACCGUGAGGGAAAGAUGAAAAGAACUUUGAAAAGAGAGUUAAACAGUACGUGAAAUUGUCAAAAGGGAAGCGUUUGACACCAGUGUUGUUUUUCCGAAAAUCAAUUACGAAUGUUUUGUUUUUAAGAAGUUAUGACUUCAUCGGCUUGCUUCUCUCUUUACGAAACUUUCUUAAUGCACUUUUCGGUUAACAAGUCAACAUCAAUUUCUUUUGUUGUAAAAGGGUAUGAGGAAGGUGGCUUUCUUUUCGGAGAAAGUGUUUAUAGCCUUGUACCUCUGCAAUCGGAGAGAUUGAGGUCUGCAGCGUAGAUCCUUCGGGGUUAGAUACAUUUGUGCUAAGUUAUAGCCAUUAUAGACAACUUGUUGACUAUGCCUAAGUCUUGUAGCUUACUCGCAUAUGUUAUUUUACCUACGCUUAGGAUGUUGACACACGCGCGUGCUCG
rnacentral:rRNA from 1 species